UCUCAAACUGGUAAGCAUUUUCAUUGGAGAAAGUUCUUAUAAUUUAGUUAAGAACAGGGAUAUAGAUGGUAACUUUUUGAACUUGAACUGUCUAGAGAAAGGGCUUUCUAACACAGUUGAUAAAUAGACUGAAAAUAGAAGCAAAUCAUAGAGCCCAGUUCUUUAUUUUAGCUAGCUAAAUAAACAAUGUUGGGGGUGGGGCAUUUUCUAGAAUCUAUUUUACUUUUCAUUACUAACCUUACUAGUGUUGAUAUGUGCACUUUUAUCAACUAGCAUGCAGUUAACAGUAUGAAACUGAACAUGAUUCAUUUGAUGUUUUCAAAGGUAGAAACUAACUUUGUAGCUUUUUUUCCCCUUUUGAAUACAACACUGCUGAGGUAAAGAAUGUUGUAGCUUGUGGGUGAGCUCAAUAGGGCCAAUUAUAACCUGACUACUCUUCCACCAUGUUGAAAUAUCUGACAGAACUUACUGUGUCCUUGGAUAAUGGCAUUUUUUCUUCUUCUUAGCAGACAUCUAAUUGAGGAGAUUUCCUGUUUCGUAGUCAAGGAAAGAUGAAAACAAAAGUACCACACUGUUGCUUCUGACCAAGGUCACCACAUUAAUCCCUGAUAAUUGGAGAGGGAUGAGAAUCUUCACAAACACCAGAAGGUUGAACAGCCUUUCCUACAUUUGACAACUGAAAUGGAAGCAUCUUGUGGAAGACACCCACCUCAAGUUGUAGGCACUCACCCAUUCGCACACCAUUGUUCAGUUAUAUCCUAGAUUAAAACAUCAACUUUGGUUUGACAACUGCACGGUGGCAUCUUUUUCGCCUGUGUAGGUAAAUUAGAACAAUCCAAUAGCAGGUAUAGGUGAAAAGUUUCUCCUUAUUUCCAAUGGUAGGUAUAGGAGUCCCCAACAUUGUACAAUACUUUCAGGGAGUUGUCUUUCACAGGGAUAUUUACAUCCCCUUCUGAUGUACUGGCACCUUCCAGUUUAGCAGGAUAUUUUUUAUUGCCCUCUGCAAAAACAUCACACAGAAGAAAGGCUAGCUUGUGGUCAUUCUGCCAAUUCAUAUUUUUAUUGCAAUUCACAGCAUUCAAAUAAUUUUCUCAUAUAUUAUCACAAUGAUUCUGGGAGGUACUAAAAGCUAGUUCCGCAAAUAUCACCAACACAUGAAAAGACAAAACUGGAAUUGUCUAAGAGGGGUGAAAGUAAGGUCAGAAUUUAUUGAGAAUUGGAAGUUUGGUUUGAGGCAAGUUUUUCGAUGCAGGGCGACUUGAUUAGGAUUAGAUAAGAAUCACCAUAUGUUCAGGAUUGGUAAAAACAGCAAGAUGAAGAUUUUGAGAUAAGAGAUUCAAGGAAUAUUAAGGUAUAAAUUGUCUAUCGAUAUUUUCCACUGAAGAGUUGAUGGUUCUGUUGGUAAGGUCCUAUAAUAAACAACCAAACCAUUUGCUUGGGAAGGACAGUCCUGGUAAUACUAAUUAGUAAUUAGUAAUACCAGCAAAGACAGUGGACACAGAAAAAUGGCAUGAUGAUAGAGGCUCUGUUUAUCCCUCUGGUGACCAAAUUAAAGUUGUGACAGAAACAAGGAGCAAACAGCAAGGAAAAUUGCUUGGAAUCUAUAUGAACAAGCCAUGCAACUAGGGAGAAAUAUAAGAAAUCACCCUGCAAUGGCAGAAGGUAGGAUGGGGUGAGGAUGCGAGGCUGCCAGUCCUGAGCGAGUGAGUGGGACAGAGGCUAUAGCAGCGGCAGCCAACAGCUGCAGAUGCCUCUUAAAGGGGCUGUGUCCGUGAGCAGACUUUCUUGUUGAGAGACCUACUUGCUCUAGCACCAGCACUAGUUCGGCUGUGCAGGGGGCAUCAGGCACUUACAGGGGGACACUGAGUUGUCAGAGCGACGGCAAAGGGGAGAUUUGCUCUGUAUAGAAGUGCUGCAGGUAUCCAUUGCUCCUCUGUUGAGCCCUCCCCCUUCCCAGUGCCUGGACUGAGCACUGCCAUAGUGGAGAUGUCAUCAAACUGGAUGAGAGGUCACUCUGCCCAGAGGAUUCCUUGAAACUCCGCCUCCCCCAACUUGCAGCCCCACCCAUGCCACAUCCAGGUGUGCCCUCGCUUAGUCAGGUGCCCCUUGCUAAACAGCGCCUAGAAUCACACUGGUGGCAACUGGCCUCGGUUUGAGGCAACUAUAAGCACAACAUCUAUGGAUGCUUGCUGAAUCUUAACAGGUGG